AGAGGGUGCUUCUGGCUCAGGAUGAACGCUAGCUACAGGCUUAACACAUGCAAGUCGAGGGGCAGCAUUUUAGUUUGCUUGCAAACUGAAGAUGGCGACCGGCGCACGGGUGAGUAACACGUAUCCAACCUGCCGAUAACUCCGGGAUAGCCUUUCGAAAGAAAGAUUAAUACCGGAUAGCAUACGAAUAUCGCAUGAUAUUUUUAUUAAAGAAUUUCGGUUAUCGAUGGGGAUGCGUUCCAUUAGUUUGUUGGCGGGGUAACGGCCCACCAAGACAACGAUGGAUAGGGGUUCUGAGGGGAAGGUCCCCCACAUUGGAACUGAGACACGGUCCAAACUCCUACGGGAGGCAGCAGUGAGGAAUAUUGGUCAAUGGGCGAGAGCCUGAACCAGCCAAGUAGCGUGAAGGAUGAAGGCUCUAUGGGUCGUAAACUUCUUUUAUAUGGGAAUAAAGUAUUCCACGUGUGGAAUUUUGUAUGUACCAUAUGAAUAAGGAUCGGCUAACUCCGUGCCAGCAGCCGCGGUAAUACGGAGGAUCCGAGCGUUAUCCGGAUUUAUUGGGUUUAAAGGGAGCGUAGGUGGAUUGUUAAGUCAGUUGUGAAAGUUUGCGGCUCAACCGUAAAAUUGCAGUUGAAACUGGCAGUCUUGAGUACAGUAGAGGUGGGCGGAAUUCGUGGUGUAGCGGUGAAAUGCUUAGAUAUCACGAAGAACUCCGAUUGCGAAGGCAGCUCACUAGACUGUCACUGACACUGAUGCUCGAAAGUGUGGGUAUCAAACAGGAUUAGAUACCCUGGUAGUCCACACAGUACCCAAAAAAGGCUCGCUGUUUGCGAUAUACAGUAAGCGGCCAAGCGAAAGCAUUAAGUAUUCCACCUGGGGAGUACGCCGGCAACGGUGAAACUCAAAGGAAUUGACGGGGGCCCGCCCAAGCGGAGGAACAUGUGGUUUAAUUUGAUGAUACGCGAGGAACCUUACCCGGGCUUAAAUUGCAACAGAAUAUAUUGGAAACAGUAUAGCCGUAAGGCUGUUGUGAAGGUGCUGCAUGGUUGUCGUCAGCUCGUGCCGUGAGGUGUCGGCUUAAGUGCCAUAACGAGCGCAACCCUUAUCUUUAGUUACUAACAGGUCAUGCUGAGGACUCUAGAGAGACUGCCGUCGUAAGAUGUGAGGAAGGUGGGGAGGACGUCAAAUCAGCACGGCCCUUACGUCCGGGGCUACACACGUGUUACAAUGGGGGGUACAGAAGGCGGCUACCUGGUGACAGGAUGCUAAUCCCAAAAGCCUCUCUCAGUUCGGAUUGGAGUGUGCAACCCGACUCCAUGAAGCUGGAUUCGCUAGUAAUCGCGCAUCAGCCACGGCGCGGUGAAUAAAAGGCCGGGCCUUGCACU
rnacentral:rRNA from 1 species